GGCAACAAACAACAAGACAGAAUCUAGAAGAGAACCUCGCGGUCAAGGUGAUCAAGAGUUAUCAUUGAAAACAGGCCAAACAGGCAAUGCGGACAGAAGCACCAAUGUGCAUGAGUCAGGGCAAGGCAAUCCCCAUCAAGUGGAUUCGGUCAAAGAAAAAUGCAUGGACUCUGGAAGAGAACCUGACGGUCAAGCUGAGAGUGCUCAACAUUCCGAACCUUCUGAGCCCAGAACCUUCGAGGAAGUCCUCGCAUCCAUCGCAAAGAAAAAUAAAGGUAAAACUAGACUUUAAUUCGUCACUUUGACGAAUUAG